AGUGAACGCUGGCGGUAGGCCUAACACAUGCAAGUCGAACGGCAGCACAGUAAGAGCUUGCUCUUACGGGUGGCGAGUGGCGGACGGGUGAGGAAUACAUCGGAAUCUACUUUUUCGUGGGGGAUAACGUAGGGAAACUUACGCUAAUACCGCAUACAACCUACGGGUGAAAGCAGGGGAUCUUCGGACCUUGCGCGAUUGAAUGAGCCGAUGUCGGAUUAGCUAGUUGGCGGGGUAAAGGCCCACCAAGGCGACGAUCCGUAGCUGGUCUGAGAGGAUGAUCAGCCACACUGGAACUGAGACACGGUCCAGACUCCUACGGGAGGCAGCAGUGGGGAAUAUUGGACAAUGGGCGCAAGCCUGAUCCAGCCAUACCGCGUGGGUGAAGAAGGCCUUCGGGUUGUAAAGCCCUUUUGUUGGGAAAGAAAAGCAGCAGGUUAAUACCCCGCUGUUCUGACGGUACCCAAAGAAUAAGCACCGGCUAACUUCGU
rnacentral:rRNA from 1 species